GGACCUAAUGGUGAGGGGCCCCUUUACCUAAUGCAAGAGAAGGUACCCAUGCUGAAAGAUGGCAGCAGGAACACAAGAAGCCCUACCAAUGUUGCUGGAGCACAUGCCUUGGAAGCAGAGCAUUAACCCUUUCAAUUAGGGCUCAUUUUCUCCAGGGAAGCAGAAAUGAACAGAUAUCUCUCUGCCACCCUAUAUAAAAUAAGCUCCUGAUCAGAGCUUGCUAGAGCAACAUUCUAGCUACUUGGUUGCCUGUUCGCUUUGCCUUCAUUCCCCAAUGUUCUGUCCAGGGUCCUGAUAUUUAAUGUGUUCUCUUAGCGUAUGAGAAUUGCACAGCAUUCCUUGUUGUUGCUGGCCUGCUUACUGACCACUGAACCUACUUAGUGAUGGUACUUAGUGGUGGUAGGCUUCAGAUGCUAUCUGCAGCUACUUUCAUAUGGCAGUGGCUUUUCAGUUCAGCAGUGGAUUGAUAAUUGCCUGCUGCACAAAGGCUCUGAGAAGUUUCUCCAUUUCAAAAGCUCUUUUCUCUCACCCUGUUGCUGCCUAAAUUGUGCAGUCUCUUCACCACCAUUUUCAGAAUGCUUUGUUCACUUUCCAUUUAAGUGUCAUGUUCACGAUGUGCAACGUGGAGCUUUGUGCCAGAAAUGGGAGAUUUAAUAACAGCAACAGGUGUGACAUUUGUUAUCCUGCAAGCUACCUGUAGUGUGCUUCUCUAGAUCCAUUGAAGGAGUCUCACAAAUGGGGGUUGUCUUAGGAGCAUCUAGAAAUCAUAACCAUUGAAGGGCUUGUAGUAGGGCAUAUGAUGGCUAGGCAUAAUUUGUAGGGGUGGGCAAGUUUCCAAAAACAUUCAUUGGACUGAUUUGGAAGUAAACAGAGCUCAUUCAGGGAAAAUAUAAUCAACCUGUCAAGCACUCAGACAUUCAGCAUGUAUGACUUGAAUCCAGUCUGACUUGAACCCAGCCUUACCACCAUUCUGCACCUGUGUGUUUUCAUUGUACACUUUGGGAUUUGAAGUAUAGGAAUUCAGUGCUGAAUUGGGGGCACAUGGAAUUUUCACAGGGUUGCUACAUUAACAUUUAUUAUUAUUAUUUUACAAGUCAAGACAUGAUUGGAUGUGUCCCUGGUGGCCUUAUGAAAGUCUGCAUAGGACUGGAGUGUUUCAAGAACUUUCAUAUUGGCUGGUGGUCACUAGAAUUUCCCUGUCCCAAAUAGUUAAAGUCCGAAUUUUGCGGUACUUUCAUUACGGUGUGUUGGGUGUUUCAUGUUUUAUCUUGUUCCCUGCUAUGCCUUCAGGAUACAUAGAGACAAAUAUUGACAGUUCAGCCAAGCAAGCCAUACAGCGUGCACUCUGGAUAAUGAUGGUGCACACUGAGUGUGUGCGAGAUUGGAACACAUGCAUAAUACAGAUAUCCAGAUAUGCAUAGAUGUACAUAUGCACUGAACCAAAAUGUGUAGCUGUUCAAUUUGGAAUAUAUAAUUUCUGUACUGCCUUUCUGCCAAAGCACCCAAUACACUUUACAAUUUAAAAUACUAAAACAAACACAUUGUAUGAAAUGUAGUGUGACGCAGUCACCUUGGGCCAAUUGGUAGGCAAUGGUAUGUGCCUGAACUGGGUACCUGAUAAACUAAGUAGAGAAUGCCUUUUCUAAACAAACAAACAAACAAACACCUCUAUUGUUAGUUUGUUACAUAAAUUUCUAAAAAGUAUUUUUAUUUAGAACGCACAGGUAGUAUUACGUUGAACCCAUAAUAAUUUCACAGGGUGAUGGAGAAAGCUCCAUUUUCUGUCAAGGAAGGGAGAUAUUCAAUCAAUUCUAAAAGCUGCACAGAAGAGCUUUUUGACACACAUUCAGUGUUCUUUGUAGCAGUCUUUCUAAUUAUGCUGAGGAGAUACUUUUUGCCAUUUCAGUUGUGGAAAGCUGCUGAUAGUGGUUGCUUGAACUAUUAAUAUUAAAAUCUGAUCCCUUAGUUGGUUGAGGAACUCAGCACCAGAGCUGCUGCUAAUCAGCUUGAUGAACUCUUCAUAAGAAGGAGAAUUAUGUAGGCUGUCUUGUGAUGCUUGUUCACCUGUUCUUUGUACUCCAUCUGAACAAGCAACAACCUUUGGUUGAUACAGUUGGGAUCACUCAGAAGUUCUACCAUUGGUUUCAGUACUUUUAACACAAACAUUCCUGCAAGGACUACGUACAAGCAAGGCAGCUAAGCUUUCCUCAGGCAUUGAGGGUUAUGUCUAAAUUCCACUUGCUGAAUUUCCCAGCUAAGUGAGUUCAUUCCCGAGCGAAGUUCAGGAGAACCCUGCACAUUCCCACCAUUGCCAAGAAUUUGGCCAUAUUAGUUACAUGUACCCUUUUUAUAAAAGCAUGUUUGUUUUGUAUAAUUUACUGUAAAGACUGGAACGCAUGCCAAUGUAUGAUAACAAUGCAUCACUGGUAGCCGAUUCAUUAAGCCCUCUGGCAUGGUGGUGCUAUUAUUGAAUGCCAGGUCAACCCAUAGUAAACCAUGUUCAUCCAUGACUUGAUUGUGGAUGAAGAGGCUGACUUGACAGGUAUUUCUGAGGCUUGAAUGGGGAGCUAGAUGGGGGUGACUUCAGCAUUACAUAGGGGUGGCCACUAGGCUGGCAUGGGAUGUCAUGGCUUCUAUGCCAACCAUGGGACCAUCUUAAAUGGUCAUCGGUCCAACCCAUCAGUCAGGGCAUAACCUUGAUGUGAUCUUCACCCCAAGUUACAGGAGGGAUGGACCAAAGAUAGGAACGGUGCAAUGCACACCCUUGUCAUAGUUAGACCAAUACCUGGUGAAAUUGAACUAGUAGUGACAGUUUCUCCGGCAAGGGUGGUAAGCCUACUCAGAAGAACAACCCUUGGAACUUGAUGGAACCUUCCUGAAUGUUCUGGGGGAUUUUCCAGAGGAGAAAGCUGCGGAUCCUGUCAAAACUCUUUUCUUGCUACAGAAUGGUAAAAUGCUUUGUGAAGCCCAAAUUGCUCCUUCAUAUUCUUGGAAGCUUUAGGCUAUGAGGCAAGCUGGAUGAAGACUAGAGCAUAAGUCUUGCACUGAAGCUGUUAAUUUUAUUAUUUAUUUCAGUGAUCUUUAAAUGUUUUUAAUUUUUUAAAAAACUUUUUUUUUUGCUAACUUUGGUAUACAGUAUAGUGUAAACUGCUCACUGUGUUCUAGCAAUACAUUUUGUUUAAAAAUGAAAGAAAGAAACAGCUCCCCAAAGUUCUGAUUUUUGCUGCACUCUUUUCUUUUCACAUACUAAAUCCAUCGAGCAUCCAUGAUGGACUUUUCUUUAUUACUAUGCUGCAGUGACAAUUUUGUAUGCUUAAAAUGUUUCCUAAAGAGAAAGUGUAGUUUGUUUAUCAUAAACCCCAUUAUAUUUUGAGAGCCUCCUGCAGUUCCGCACAGAUAAGAGCUAAUGUAACAUUUUUAUUGCACAUCUCACCCAAGAUUGCAUUGAAGAAAACAGUGGUGGAGGUGUCGUUUAUUAGUCAUUCAUCUUGUAAACUGCAUUUUUCACUAUUUUUAAGUGGAAAAGAAAAGUAAACUGCAGUUGUCAAAUGACUAAGGUCCAUUCACCUAAAUCACCUCUGAAUUUUGUGGAAUUCUUACCAGCUGGAUUCAAAAAUGGGGGUUAUGCCACACCCAUAACAGGGUCUCCCUUGCAAUGUAACAAAAAUCAUGACAUUUAGAAUAGAUUAUGUCCUACAACUUGUGACCUUUCCAAACAGUUUUGGCUUAAAGAAUUCCAACAGUACAGGAAGAAAUGGAGAGGUUCAUGCUGUAAAUAUCUGUAAACCUCUCUGAUAACCUGAUUACUUGUUUGACACAGUCAAUUUCCAUGAAGGUAAUUCACAGUUUAUCCUCAUGGUAAAGAAAGCCCACUAACCUGACUUAAUUACAGACAACCUUUCUUCACUAUUACUACCCCAUUUACUCGUAAAUAACUGACAAUUAGCAUCUUUGUUAUUUAUUUGGUCACUUAGCAAGAAACAAAUGGCAGCCAGGAGUCCAUGAUUAACAAGGGCAUCUUGUUCUGUAUUUCAGCUUACGCUCAUUCUGAUAGUGAGUGCAAAUUACUGAGAAGAAGGGUGGUGACAGGUGGGAGCAGCAGCGAGGAGAUUGCAGUGAUCUAACAAUGCAAUCCAAACCCAUUAAAAUCAAUGAGACUUUGGAUUUUGGUCAUGGGAGGUUGACGAUGCUUUAACCAGAGAUGAAAUGAUACAUAAAGAAAAAUGCAGAUCCUAGGGAUGAAAAAGGAGAAGAUGCUGAAACUGGUCCAGGGUUGGGUCGGGGGAGGAAGAUGACCCCUAGGCAGGGUAGCAGAGAAGACUGACAAGAAUAGGAUGCUUCUGGGCCAACUUGGUGGGAUGGUUAUCAGCAGCACUGUUUCAUGGUGGCUCCGUUCUUCCCUGCUGGCUCCUGUCUGGAGAGUAGCAUUGGAAAAGUGCUCUUCAGCCCCCUGGUGUUCAACAUAUGAGGUCCCACUGGACAUUAUUUUGUCCACAAAGGAUUCUGAAUCUAUAUGAAGCCAUUGGGACCAGUCACUAUGAAUUUUGCAGCAAGAUGCGUCAGUAUGCCGAUGAUGUCCAGCUCUGUUUUUUCCUUUUUUAGAUAAAUAUUUAAAUAUUUUUUAUUCAUUUUUAUCUUUAGCAAUUAUCAUCACAGAUAAAUCAUAAUCAUGUAUACAUAGGAUUCUCUGAAUCCCCAGACCUCCCUCCAUCCCUCUAUGGUUUCCAUAGUUAUUCUUUUCCAACUGCAUCUUAUAAUGUUCUCCAUAUUUUCUUAAUACUCAGUUCUCACUACAUUGCAAGUGUUUUUCAGAAUCCUGCCAGUGUUUUUAAUUGUUUACAAUGUUCUUUUAAGUAACUUAUAAAUUUCCCCCAUUCUUUAUCAAAUUUAUUAUCUUCUUGAUCUCUGAUCUUCCCGGCCAUUUCAGCAUAGUCCAUCAUUAUCAGCCAUUCUUCUUUUGUAGGUAGUUUAUCUUCCUUCCAUCUUUGGGCAAGAGGCCCAGCUCUGUUUUUCCAUUACUUCUGAGUCAGGAGUAGCAGUGCUAAUCAACUUGGGAAGGUAGACCAUCUAGGAGAAGGAAAACUCUGAUCCUAAACCUCUGCUGCUUUGCGGCUAUACUCAUUUGUGAGAAAGGCUUAAGGAGAAGCCCCACAGAAAAAUCCAUACCCACUGCUUUGUGGGACAUCUUCAGGAGAAGGAAAAGGCUAAGCAGUAACCCCACACAAAUCCAGAGUGGAGUCCUUAACAUGGUUGAAUUGCUCCUUGUAUUCCUCCAUUUGGGCUAGAAGAAUCUGGAAAAGUAGAAUAGAAGCAUUUUAUCUUUGAAAAUGCUGGUCCUUCAACACUCUGGGUAAUGUGGGAGGGCAGUAUGAUUUGCAGUCACUACACACUUGGAAAAGCUUGGUUUACCAGUAUAUGCAGCCUCCUCAACUGGAGGCCUCUUGGAAAGAGGGCAAGGAUGGUUGAUGUAGCAGUUCUUCCAGACUUCUUCCAACUGAAGCAUCUGUAGUCCCAAGCCCCAGGUUCAACUGCUGAUAACAUUUCUUCCUUGGCCCCCAGUGUGUCUCAGGUAUGUUUUGUUGGUAUAGCACUUUCCAAUAUAGAUCCCUUUGUCUUGUGUUCACUAUCAACACUGGAGAGCUCAGUUCGCUAGAGCGUGUUGCUGACCAUGGCAAGGUUGCAGGUUUGAUCCCCAUGUUGGACAACUGCAUUGCAGGGGAUGAUUCUCAGGGUCUCUUCCAACUCUACAAUUCUGUGAUUCUAUCAGAGGAAUCCAUGAAGUCCAUGGGUGCCUGGGAGGCAAUAAACAGUAUGUUACAUAAACUAGUAAAGCAGUAUAUAAGAGGCUUUCCUGCAGAUGUCUCAUUACAGACGAUUUCAUCCUUUCUGUCCAAGAAAACAAGUGCAGAAAGUGAGAUGGUGAGUUAUGCUGCAAAAGUUCAUAACUAUAUUCAUUGAGAUAUGUCAGUAGUGUAGUUGGAGAACAGCCUUUACCAAAGGUGUCAUAGGCUUUGAAGACACUCAAACUCGGGACACAAGGGAGAAACAUGCUAAGAGGAAGGCACGCUUGGCAAAUCUACACUGUGACCAACUCCUGUCCGGAAACCAAUGUCCCCACUGUGGAAGGACGUGUGGAUCCAGAAUUGGCCUCCACAGUCACUUACGGACUCAUUGUUAAAACCAUGUUUAUGGAAGAUAAUCUUACUCGGCUACGAGUGAUCACCAAAGAAAUAUCGUUCCUGUCCUGCUUGAAAGAGAGUGUGUGUGUGUGGUGAGGAGGAAUGUGCUUAACAGGUUACAGUGUCUCACAUUUCGUGGCAGAUAUUGCAUUACAGCAAUCAGUGGCAGUAAACGUGGCUCCCUCCAGAUCUUCUGGGACUACAGUUCCCAUCAUCUUUGAACACUGGGCAUAUUGACUAGGACUGAAAGAAGUUGGAUUCAUCAACAUUUGGAGGGCACUACUGCCCUUGCAAUAUAUUUUGGGAUUUUCCCUCACAUCUCUGAAAAAUGGAUGUGGUGUUGGGUAGGCAUUUCAGUGUCAGUGAAUUAUGCCAUAAAUCUGCAUACCAAGUUUCUCUGUGAUCUCACAGUCAUCAAGUCAGAUAUCAAUCUGCAGUGGGGUCCCCCCCCCGCCCUGCUGCUCCCUUCCAUGGGUUUCAGUCUGAGGUUCAAACCAGUGUGGUGUCCCAAUUGUCUUUCCAAAAUUUCAAACUUUAGCUAGUGUAUUAUUAUGUAUUUCUCUCCCACCCACCCACACUUGAAAAUAGGUGAGUUUGUAUUUGGACUACUGACAUAAAAUUGUGUCCUGACCAUGUAUACCAAAUUCAUUCCAGUGUCACAUUAUUUGACAUAGAUGUUGAGUUACACACAAGCAAAUUAUGCCAAGGUCUUCACUUAGCCUAACCAGUAAAUCCACCAGACAAGACUGAAGGAUUAAAUAAACUACCAAAUGGCACCUGUCUGCCAGUCCUUGUUCUGUUCAUAAGAAUGAACUCUUAGAGAGAAAAUAGUUGCCUGGCAUCUUAAAGAACAAAUAAGCCCCAAGGCUCUUAUAUAUAAGAGACAUGUGCAUACAAGCCUUUUUCCAGUGUACAGAUGACAGUGAAUUGAAAGGAAUGGGUAAUGGCUUGAUCAAGGCCACAUUGUGAAAUGAGGAUUAACAUUCAUGCUUGCCCUUAGCUAUUGUGAGACCAAACUGCUCCAGUUGCAUUUCUCCAUUCCAAUCUUUUAAAAUUUUAAUUAAAGG
rnacentral:lncRNA from 1 species